AACACAUGCAAGUCGAGGGGUAUAUGUCUUCGGAUAUAGAGACCGGCGCACGGGUGCGUAACGCGUAUGCAAUCUACCUUUUACAGAGGGAUAGCCCAGAGAAAUUUGGAUUAAUACCUCAUAGUAUAGCUCUACCGCAUGGUAGUACUAUUAAAGUCACAACGGUAAAAGAUGAGCAUGCGUCCCAUUAGCUAGUUGGUAAGGUAACGGCUUACCAAGGCAACGAUGGGUAGGGGUCCUGAGAGGGAGAUCCCCCACACUGGUACUGAGACACGGACCAGACUCCUACGGGAGGCAGCAGUGAGGAAUAUUGGACAAUGGGCGCAAGCCUGAUCCAGCCAUGCCGCGUGCAGGAUGACGGUCCUAUGGAUUGUAAACCGCUUUUGUACGAGAAGAAACACUGCUUCGUGAAGCAGCUUGACGGUAUCGUAAGAAUAAGGAUCGGCUAACUCCGUGCCAGCAGCCGCGGUAAUACGGAGGAUCCAAGCGUUAUCCGGAAUCAUUGGGUUUAAAGGGUCCGUAGGCGGUUUAGUAAGUCAGUGGUGAAAGCCCAUCGCUCAACGGUGGAACGGCCAUUGAUACUGCUGAACUUGAAUUAUUAGGAAGUAACUAGAAUAUGUAGUGUAGCGGUGAAAUGCUUAGAGAUUACAUGGAAUACCAAUUGCGAAGGCAGGUUACUACUAAUUGAUUGACGCUGAUGGACGAAA
rnacentral:rRNA from 1 species